rnacentral:tRNA from 1 species
UCUUCAAUUGCUCAGUUGGUAGAGCAUGGCGCUUGCAAUGCCAGGAUUGUGGGUUCGAUUCCCAGUUAAUGCC